rnacentral:rRNA from 1 species
AUUGAACGCUGGCGGCAGGCCUAACACAUGCAAGUCGAGCGAGCGGCGGACGGGUGAGUGAUGUCUGGGAAACUGCCUGGUGGAGGAGCAUAACUACUGGAAACGGUAGCUAAUACCGCAUACCAUCAGAUAUGCCCAGGUGGGAUUAGCUAGUAGGUGGGGUAACGUCCCACCUAGGCGACGAUCCCUAGCUGGUCUGAGAGGAUGACCAGCCACACUGGAACGGAGACACGGUCCAGACGCCUACGGGAGGCAGCAGUGGGGAAUAUUGGACAAUGGGCGCAAGCCUGAGUCAGCCAUGCCGCGUGUGUGAAGAAGGUCUUCGGGUUGUAAAGCACUGUCAGCGGGGAGGCGUUACCCUCAGAAGAAGCACCGGCUAACUACGUGCCAGCAGCCGCGGUAAUAC